GGCUCGGUAGCUUAGUUGGUAAAGCGCUCGUCAAGCAUACAAAAGUCAUGGGUUCGAAUCCCAGCCGAGCAC
rfam:Aedes aegypti strain Liverpool supercont1.19 genomic scaffold, whole genome shotgun sequence.